AGAGUUUGAUCCUGGCUCAGAUUGAACGCUGGCGGAAUGCUUUACACAUGCAAGUCGAACGGCAGCACGGGGGCAACCCUGGUGGCGAGUGGCGAACGGGUGAGUAACACAUCGGAACGCGUCCUGUAAUGGGGGAUAACCUGGCGAAAGCCAGGCUAAUACCGCAUACGUCCUGAGGGAGAAAGCGGGGGAUCGCAAGACCUCGCGUUAUAGGAGCGGCCGAUGUCGGAUUAGCUAGUUGGUGGGGUAAAGGCCUACCAAGGCGACGAUCCGUAGCGGGUCUGAGAGGACGGCCCGCCACACUGGGACUGAGACACGGCCCAGACUCCUACGGGAGGCAGCAGUGGGGAAUUUUGGACAAUGGGCGCAAGCCUGAUCCAGCCAUUCCGCGUGAGUGAAGAAGGCCUUCGGGUUGUAAGGCUCUUUCGGCCGGGAAGAAAUCGCACCUUCUAAUACGGGGUGUGGAUGACGUACCGAAGA
rnacentral:rRNA from 1 species